rnacentral:rRNA from 1 species
GGCUCAGUAACACGUGGGUAAUCUACCAUCAGGACAGGGAUAACCCCGGAAAACUGGGGAUAAUACCUGAUAGGUGGAGAAGUCUGGAACGACUCUCCGCUCAAAUGCUCCGGCGCCUGAUGAUGAGCCUGCGACCGAUUAGGUUGUUGGCGGUGUAAUGGACCACCAAGCCUGAGAUCGGUACGGGUGUUGAGAGACAGUGCCCGGAGAUGGGGACUGAGACACGGCCCCAGGCCCUACGGGGCGCAGCAGGCGCGAAAACUCCGCAAUACACGAAAGUGUGACGGGGGAACCCCAAGUGCGCUCACGCAAGUGAGUGCUUUUGUGAAGUGUAAAUAGCUUUAUGAAUAAAAGCUGGGUAAGACCGGUGCCAGCCGCCGCGGUAACACCGGCAGCUUGAGUGGUGAUCACUAUUAUUGGGCCUAAAGCGUCCGUAGCCUGUUUGGUAAGUCCUUGGGCAAAUCCUGUCGCUUAACGGCAGGAAUUCUGAGGAUACUACCAGACCUGAGGUCGAGAGAGGUCGGAGGUACUCCUGGGGUAGCGGUGAAAUGCUAUAAUCCUGGGGGGACCACCAGUGGCGAAAGCGUCCGACCAGAGCGAGCCUGACGGUAAGGGACGAAAGCCAGGGGAGCGAACGGGAUUAGAUACCCCGGUAGUCCUGGCCGUAAACGCUGUGGGCUAGGUGUUGCAUGCUCUACGAGGGCAUGCAGUGCCGAAGAGAAGUUGAUAAGCCUACCGCCUGGGAAGUACUAUCGCAAGAUAGAAACUU